UACGGGGGGGGCAAGCGUUGUUCGGAAUUACUGGGCGUAAAGGGCUUGUAGGUGGCCAACUAAGUCAGACGUGAAAUCCCUCGGCUUAACCGGGGAACUGCGUCUGAUACUGGAUGGCUUGGAUUCGGGAGAGGAAUGCGGAAUUCCAGGUGUAGCGGUGAAAUGCGUAGAUAUCUGGAGGAACACCGGUGGCGAAGGCGGCAUUCUGGACCGAUAUUGACGCUGAGGAGCGAAAGCCAGGGGAGCAAACGGG
rnacentral:rRNA from 1 species